CAGUCGCCGCGGUAAUACGAGGGGUGCAAGCGUUAAUCGGAAUUACUGGGCGUAAAGCGUGCGUAGGCGGUUUGUUAAGUCUGUUGUGAAAUCCCCGGGCUCAACCUGGGAAUGGCAAUGGAUACUGGCAAGCUAGAGUGUGUCAGAGGAUGGUGGAAUUCCCGGUGUAGCGGUGAAAUGCGUAGAGAUCGGGAGGAACAUCAGUGGCGAAGGCGGCCAUCUGGGACAACACUGACGCUGAGGCACGAAAGCGUGGGGAGCAAACAGGAUUAGAUACCCCAGUAGUCCCUGUCUCUUAUAC
rnacentral:rRNA from 1 species